UGCUGAGAGGAAUUCAGCGGUGGUGAAGAGAGUGGAUACAAACCAGGGAUUGGUUUCCUUGAGCUGUUUUGGAGGUUGAUUCUAAAUCACUGCUUAAGGAAUUCCUGGAAACAUCAGGAAAACAUUUGAUCAUCCAAGCCUAGUGGAAAUGGCUUUACCGCAGAGUGAAGAUGCAAUGACCGGGGACACAGACAAAUAUCUUGGGCCACAGGACCUUAAGGAAUUGGGUGAUGAUUCCCUGCCUGCAGAGGGUUACAUGGGCUUUAGUCUCGGAGCGCGUUCUGCCAGUCAUGCUGCCAGCACAGUAGCAAAAGAGCUCACUGACAAAACUGGGAGAACCAAUCUGAGUCACAUAUUUCAAAAUUAAGUUUUGUUCCAUAUUGAAAGAAAGUAUUAUUUGCUAAUAAGUGAGAAAUAUGUGUAUAGAUUGUUCACUAUUCUCUGUUACUGAAAUAAUAAUUCAUGAUUAAAAGAGAGCAUUUUUGAAAAAAAA
rnacentral:lncRNA from 1 species